rnacentral:rRNA from 1 species
UACGAGUGCCCCGAGCGUUAUCCGGAAUUAUUGGGCGUAAAGCGUGUGUAGGUGGUCAUGUUAGUCUCCUGCGAAAUUCUUCGGCUUAACCGGGGCGUGACGGGAGAAACGGCAUGACUUGAGAGUGCGAGGGGUGUGUGGAACUCUAAGUGUAGGGGUGAAAUCCGUUGAUAUUCGCAAGAACACCAGUGGCGAAGGCGGCUCACUGGCCCGGUACUGACGCUGAGGUGCGAAAGCGUGGGGAGCAAACAGG